GCUGUUUCCAACGUGGCUUUCAUUGAAUUUGUGACAAAAUUGCGUUUAUCCAUGGAGCCCGCUUUCCAUCCGAUUCCUGGUGGAUGAUGUUUAAAUGCUUUUGGCUCCGUCUAGAGGCCGUCUCCACCCGCCUCACCUCCACGCUCCCCUAAAUGGGCACAAAAAGCAACAGCAAAUUUUGAUGGAGUUGUGAUGGUUUUGCAUUUAGGAUCACAGGAAUUCCUCAUUAGACCCCAUCCAUUUCUCUUGGUGGGUUCGUAUGCUAUCCCGAGGGAUAUGGGUGUAUGGGAGAACUCAUGUGUUGGUGCAUCAGUUUGAAAAGUGGAACGUUUUUAGCUUCUUUUUUUUCUUUUUAAUAAAAAAGAGAUUGAGAUCAAUAUCGAGUGCUGGAGCUUAGAGUGCAGUGCUUUUCUUCAUAGCUUCUUAAUCAUUGCUGUUCAUCAAUGCAUCGAGUACAAGCUUUUCAGCUCGUUGUGCACCACUAUCUCAGGUUGCUUGUAUUGCAGUCACACAUUUGUAAGCUUGUUGGAGCCAAAAUACAUCAACAUCAUGUUUUUUCUAUUAGUUAUUUGGUUUACUAGACGAUAAGUAACAUAAUUCAGUUGUCUCUAGACAAGGAGUGAGUGCUGUUGCAUCCAAAUCUACUGGAUAUACAUAAAAACGUUUAGAUGCUUUAUAAGAAAAGCAAAUGAUAUUUUUUGAUCUUUCUGACAGGACCUGUAUCUCAUGCACUUCAUGAUAAAGUUUCUUGCAGAUCCUUGCUUGACAUUUGUAUGUAUUUGUCACCUGAGUCUUACAUUACAAGCUAGAAAAAUAAGAGGAAAAAAUUGUAGUUCCUCUUGCUGGAUUACAAGGGGCUGGAUGU